rnacentral:piRNA from 1 species
UAGCCAUUCUCUGUACUGUGCACUUGUU